rnacentral:rRNA from 1 species
AUGUUGGGUUAAGUCCCGCAACGAGCGCAACCCUUAUCCUUUGUUGCCAGCGCGUGAUGGCGGGAACUCAAAGGAGACUGCCGGUGAUAAACCGGAGGAAGGUGGGGAUGACGUCAAGUCAUCAUGGCCCUUACGAGUAGGGCUACACACGUGCUACAAUGGCAGAUACAAAGAGAAGCGACCUCGCGAGAGCAAGCGGAACUCAUAAAGUACGUCGUAGUCCGGAUUGGAGUCUGCAACUCGACUCCAUGAAGUCGGAAUCGCUAGUAAUCGUAGAUCAGAAUGCUACGGUGAAUACGUUCCCGGGCCUUGUACACAC